rnacentral:sRNA from 1 species
AGCAGCCGCGGUAAUUCCAGCUCCAAUAGCGUAUAUUAAAGUUGUUGCAGUUAAAAAGCUCGUAGUUGAACCUUAGGCCCGUGCGGGCGGUCCGUCCUCUGGGCGAGCACUGCCUCGUCGCGGGUCUCACCUUCUGGCGAGCGUGGAUGCCAUUCAUUUGGUGUCUGAGGGAACCAGGACCUUUACCUUGAAAAAUUAGAGUGCUCAAAGCGGGCUCUUACGCUUGAAUACAUUAGCAUGGAAUAAUGAAAUAGGACGACGGUUCUAUUUUGUUGGUUUCCGGGAUUGUCGUAAUGAUUAAUAGGGAUAGUUGGGGGCAUCCGUAUUCAAUUGUCAGAGGUGAAAUUCUUGGAUUUAUUGAAGACGGACUACUGCGAAAGCAUUUGCCAAGGAUGUUUUCAUUAAUCAAGAACGAAAGUUGGGGGAUCGAAGACGAUCAGAUACCGUCGUAGUCUCAACCAUAAGCUAUGCCGACUGGGAAUCGGGCGAU